rnacentral:rRNA from 1 species
UCCGUAGGUGAACCUGCGGAAGGAUCAUUAAUGAUUAGGGGGGAGUUGAGCUGGUUUUACAAGUGCUCGCUUUUUCCGUCUACCAAAUACACCUGUGAACCGUAGGGAAAAUGUAGCUCUCGUGUGCUCUUUUCCUUACUCUUAACAUACCCCAAUUCUUAACUGUGAACGUGAUAAGCUAUUGUACCGCAAGGUCGAUAAUCGAAUAUACAACUUUUAACAACGGAUCUCUUGGCUCUCGCAUCGAUGAAGAACGCAGCGAAAUGCGAUACGUAAUGUGAAUUGCAGAAUUCAGUGAAUCAUCGAAUCUUUGAACGCACCUUGCACUCUUUGGUAUUCCGAAGAGUACGCCUGUUCGAGUAUCUUGAAACUAUCAGACCUCUGUCUUUUGAUUAAGGCAUUGGACUGGAUUUGGGCUUUACCGUCUCUUCUAGCUAAGAACGGUUGGUCUUAAAAGCAUUAGCUGACCCUCGAUUUGUGGGAUUGGUUCUACUCGGCGUGAUAAUUAUCUGGCCGUCGAGGACAUUUGCUUAGGUGCGAAUGGCCAGCCUCACCUUGGAUUGCUUCUAAUCGCACCCUCGUGCAAUUUUCAACUUUGAUCUCGAAUCAGGUGGGACUACCCGCUGAACUUAAGCAUAUCAAUAAGCGGAGGA